CUUUAAAAUUGUAGGUUUUGUCAUAUUAUGAACAUUACAACUCUAUUUUCAGAAAUGCCACAUGAAAGGAACAAUGCAUGUCUUUAGAACUAUGCAUUUAAUCUCGAUCAUGCAGUUUAGUUAGAAACUAGAAUAAGGAAAUUCAUGGAAAUACGUAGUAUUCUUUAUAUUUUCAGAGGAUGUAGAACAUCAUACAGUGGUUAAUUAGAAAAUACAAAAUGCAUGACAUAUAAUAAUUUAACUUAAAGAUUUCAUUUGCCGAAAUACCGAACUAUAAACAGCAACUUCUUUUUACACAAUGUUGAAUUAUACACAACUUCCAAUACGUGUACAGAUCCGGAAUCAAAUACAGCAAAAUAUCACCAUUAUGAUGACCUGUGACCCCAUAACUCUGCAGGAUCUACAGGAGCCAUGAAUUUUAAUGCAAUUAUAAUAUAUGGUAAUAAGGGUGAUUGCUUCACAAGUAAGCAGGAACCGAAGCUAUAGUAGUUUCUACUAGGGAAACUGGGCAAAAGAAGGUAUGUAUUCGGUCGUAAAUGGACACCUGUCACUGACGAAGUAGCCAAAGUCAUAGAGUAAGUAACCAUUAGGCUAGUAAUCAAACGUAUGUAGUGGGUUACAGAUGGACACACUUGUGCAGGGGUGCACAUUCUGGGUCAUAUGUGGGCAUCAUUAAGCAUAAUAACAUUUACAAAUAUUAAUAAUCCUUGUGUUUAUCAUGUGAUACAUGCGUGAAACAAUUAACCAUCAAUUUUAGACUGAUGCAAUUCUGAUAGCAUCAAAGUCGCUCAAAACAAUCUAUCUCGAACGUACCUCAAGUCCUGUGAUAUUCGUAAAGUGUACGUAAGGUAUUCGUAGCGGAUAUCUCGAAAGCCUCGUUAUUUACGACGCUUCGUGAAUGUCCUCGUAAGUUGAGGCUGAAGAAUCCACCCCUUAACGUUCUCGUAAAGUAUAUAAACUUACGUAUUUCUACCUAUCUGAAGACGAAUCUGUUUGUCUCUUAUUGUGCCACGCUGAAACUGGCGGGAAUAUGUCACUGAAGUUGUCAUUCCGUCCGUUCGUGUCAACGAACAUGAAUUUGUUUUAUAUGGAUGGAUUUUAAUGUUUUUACUCUGUUGUUUUUAGAUGAAAAAGCGCCGUUUUUUUUUGUUUCACAGCGAAGGAAAUACUCUUUAAAAUCCCUUAACACCUGUCCGUUUGCAUCCGAGCUAUAGGUUCAACGGUUUGUCAGAAUUGCAAGGCAUUUGAAUUGUUAGGACUAUGCCUUUGCUCAAACGACCCCGACGAAAUAAACCUUUAUACUUUUUGGUAAUUUGCACCGACGGUAUUUUGAAAUGAUAAUAAAUUAAAAAUUACAACUGAAGGUUGGCUUUUACUGCUGUAUAUAUUUACUGGUGGAUGCUGUUCAUCAAAAGGUGUUGGAAAUAAAUGAAAACAUAACAGUAAAUUCUCUAAAAAUCGCACUGAAAGCUUUAGCGCAGUACGAUACAGGUUGUCUUUAUAGAGAUACAUAAUUUGUAUCCUUUAAGGUAUGUAUAUCACAAUUAUGGCUGUAAUUUCCCAUCACGGCAUGAAGGCGAGAACUCUACUUUCUUAUCACAAGUGUGACCUUGUUUCUUGCAAACUCUAACAGUGUUCUUUCCCUUCUGGUUUGACAAUACUCCUGCGCAGAGGUUAUGUAUUUUAAUUAAAGAUAUUAAUUAAAGUUGAAAAGUUGAUUAGUAGAAAGGUUCUUUGAAUAGAAUUGUUAUAUAUAUUUAAUUUGCUCUUUGAAUAUACCUUUAAAAAAUACUGUACACUCCUUAUUAUGUAUACAAAAGAUGGUAGAUCUAUAUGUGGCCAAAGUUUAGAGUUAAAGUUGAACAUAAAGCUAGUAGACAUCUCUAAAAUAAUUAUAUAUUCAUCGCUGAAAUAUCAAACAUAUUUUUUUUUAUUUUAUAACGAAAUAAAGUCUGAUGAAAAGGAGAUAUUAUACGGUUGGCAAGGGAUAAAAGGUAUAUUUCCCAUGUUGUUUAGCAAAAGACAACUUGUGGGCUAUCAGGUGCAGUUGGUCGAAAAAGACGCCAUUAAAUAGAUUAUCCAUGACGAUACAAUACCUUGAGUUACGAGCGCUUUACGAGGGCGUUAAGAAGUGUUUGGAGAUAGCCGAAUAACAUACACAAGCUUACUGUCGCUGCUUUUUAAUUUCUGACAUAAAUUUACAGCCGAUACGAAAAAGUCAUUUUCAGGCCCGCUUCCAGAAAUUUUUGACUGGGGGUUGGGGGUACCAAUCUAGAACAAAGACGUCAAUUCCGAGGUGCACAGCAAGCGCUGAGAGCGGGUAGGUAUUCGAGGUGUGUCUUUGUCUACGUUAGGGGAAUCAUGGGGUUCUCCCCCUGGAAAUUUUUUUAAUACAGGCAUGAAAUGGUGGCCUCUGGUGCAUUUUGAGGUCUAAAUUUUGAGGCAAUGGAGGAGUUACUCGAUCGAUCCCUCCUUGAUUGGGAGGUCAGUUUUGAAAUACAGGUAUGAAAUAGUGGCCUUGAGUGCGUUUCUUGAUCUUAGGCUAAUUUUGAGAAAAAAAUAUUCCUUUGCCACAUCUUUUAUGAGUAUAGGUUACUUCUCAGCCAACUGGGGAGGGGGAUGCGGUGGGGGCACGAACCCCCUCGGUCUGGACAUGGACCUGAUUUACGUGAUUUUUAUGGAGUUAUCAACGAUAAGGCUUAACUAUACUAAAGGAACCAGCGUGGGAGCCAUCUGGUCUAGUCGCGUAAUGGCUGCCAGGUAUUUGAACACUAAUUUUUCACUUGGCAUGGCAACAGAGGUCUAAAUUAAAGCUAGUUUCUGUUUAAAUUUCAUUGUGGAUGUAUUUGUGACAUUUUGGUAGGAAAAAUGUGAGAGCAGGUUGUAUUUGGUGAAGUGAAUCUCAGUUGUAGUAUGAGUAGUACUUCCAGGUCACAGCAGUGUGAUUUUGAUGUCAGUUUACAGUAAGCAAAUGUUUGUUUGUUUGUUUGUUUGUUUGUUUUGGGUUUAACGCCGUUUUCAACAGUAUUUCAGUCAUAUAACGGCGGGCAGUUAACCUAACCAGUGUUCCUGGAUUCUGUACCAGUACAAACCUGUUCUCCGCGAGUAACUGCCAACUUCCCCACAUGAAUCAGAGCUGGAGGACUAAUGAUUUCAGACACAAUGUCGUUUAUCAAAUAGUCACGGAGAACAUACGCCCCGCCCGAGGAUCGAACUCGUGACCCCGCGAUCCAUAGACCAACGCUCUUACCUACUGAGCUAAGCGGGCGGGCUAGUAAGCAAAUGUGACCAGAGAAAUCUCUUAGAAGAUAAUGACCCCUACUUUUCUCUUCAUUUUAUAUCAGUUUUAUCAUAACUCUUUAAAAUGAGGUAAGGAUUUGUUCUCUGAAAUGGGUCUAGCUAUGUUUGGAAGCUCUUUAAAAAAUGUCAGUUUUAUAUAGAAUAUAUAGGGAAAACUAUUUAGAUGGUUGUGACCUAUAACAUACUGAUUUAUUUUCGGUAGUGCACAGUUACUUCCCUUUAACCAAAUACGCCAUUUGCACCGGCUGUUCCAAAAGAGAAGAACAAUGAUUUUCGUGCAGAUGUUUUUGUACCAGUAUGCAAGUAUUCGCUCCUUUAGAGCGUGAUAACUUAUUUGCAGGUCGCUGAACUUCAUCAUGCCAGAAUGUACAAACUUGAGGUCUUGGCUGAUGUCAACACCAAGGUAUUUUGCAUCGGAUCCUUAACUGGGGACAGUGUAGCUUAAAGGGGAACUGGAUGGGCUUUCUGCUACGUGUGAUGUGAAGGACCUGGCACUUGCUGGGGUUAAAUUCCAUGUCCCACAUUUUUUCCCAAGUUUCUAAGUUAUGGAGAUCAUUUUGUAACCUUUGGCAAUCUUUGAGGGAGGAAACUGCAAGGUACGCGGCUGUGUCAUCUGCAAAUAGCCGUACCUGGGAGGUGACUGUAUCAGGAAGAUCGUUAAUGUACAGUAGGAAGAGCAGGGGCACCAGGACAGAGCCUUGGGGGACUCCUGAUGUGACAUGGACUUGAUCAGACAUGUGACCAUUGACCAUGACAGACUGGUCAGACUUACUUGCUUUAAUAAAUUAAACAUUAAUAUUCAUGUAGAAAUUUCAAAUGCGAUGAAUUUAAUUCAUGUUUUUAAAUAAGAGACUUAAAUCUUCAAAAAUAUUAUGUAACAGGUGCGAGGAAAUAUCUACCCUGACACCGGUUUCAAUAUGGUAGCAGGGUACACUUAGAUGCGAAAAUUUUGGGAACGGACGGUCUUACAUGUAGCGAGUCGCAAUAUUGCACUUGCCUUAUGAGCAGAAUUAGGGUGGCCAUUUUAUAAAUUGCAUGCAUGUUUUGUGCUUUUAAUUAAUGGCAAGAUCAGGAUUCUCAUACAAGAAUAAAGAAAGUUAUCAAAAUGAAAGGUUUACACCAUCCAUGAAAAAUAGCAUGCCAAAAUCAUCAAUUUUGCACUUUUUGAACAGCCUGCAAUGAUUCCACUGCAAGAACAAUGCCCAAUUUUAUUGCAUUUCUCAAUUUAAUAGUCCUUACUGAACGUCAGGAUAUAAACGGAAUGGGGGCCCAUCCAGCUCGUUUUUUUCACAAAAUAGCGAAAAUGUUCCAGAGUAUCAACAAGCACAGAACCCUUCCGUGAUUUGAAUUUUUCCGUGAAAAGGUGUCUCAUUGAUCAUACAAAGCUACCAGCAGUUAGUUUUCCAACUGACAUCAGAAUUUUAGAUGUAUCGGCUGUAUAAAUUUUCUAAAGACUUAAUAAUCAUUAUCUCUCACCUUAAUCUACAGUCAUCCAAAAUCACGAAGUUCUGUUUACAACAAAUAUUGAUGGGGGCCAAAAUUCGAAGUGUACCCUGCUACCUAAACAGCAGACUGCCAAUGACAUUAAAUUGCAGAAACAAAACACAAAAUAUACGUUCAUAAAAUGUCAGCGAGGCAAGUUUAUGCUUUAAUGUCAACAUAAAUUCAAUUAUCAGAGAUGUAAUAAUUACAAAUACUUUGUACAUGUACCAGAAAACAUUCCUAACAGAUUUCAUUGGGGAUUUCCUAACAGAAAUAUGCAGAAUAAAUUUGGACAUGACGGAGACAGCAACAGUCAAGAGUUACCAUGCUGUACCGAAACAAAUCAUGACCUAGACACAGUUAAAUCCACCUUAGAGCGUGACAGCACAUCUUUGAUACACCAACACUGCUGAAAUCCCACAGUUUUAUAUACUGUAGUGGAUGGAUCGUCAGGGGAGGGAACUAGAGUCACAGAUUGAGACUAGGGCAUAACUUGCCAGCAACAAAAAAAGAGAAAAUUUUAGUGUGAUGUAAAAGUAAGCAGAAUGACUAGAGACCAGUAACUUCAGAAUUGAAGAGAUGCAGGUCUUUGUUCUACAUGGUGAAAGAGGGAAUUAUAGUGGAUAUUUGGAUUUAUCAGUGAAACCUGUGAAGUGUUAGUGAAGCAGAAUAGUUACAGAUCAUAAGAGAUGCAGGUCUUUGUUCAGCAUGGUGUAUAUGGAAAACAUAGUGGAUGGCCCGCAUAGAAAACAUUUAACGAUGUGAAGCAAGAAUCGAACAGAAUGGUUACAGACCAUUAAUUCAGAACUGAGGAGAUGCAGGUCUCUGAUCUACAUGCCGUUUGAGGGAAUUGUGGAAUUUUGGAUUUCAUGGCAGUCAUAGAAAUCUUUAAUAAAUAACCAGAUAAUUUAUAUUAUGAAUCAAUUAACAAUUACAAGCUGCAGUUAGAGUUACAGAAUAGCUGAACAAAUACUAUUAGUUAAAAACAAACAAACUGAUCUUUCAUUCAUAAAAGAAAUUUUACAGUUCAAGGGAGCCGACUCAAAUUUUAAAAAACAACACUAAAAUGCCCUUGCUUUCACAGAAAUUGUCGCCUUUCAGAAUGUAAUCAGUUUUAUAGUUUUGGAUAGAGUAUGAACUAUAUUGGCAUUUUAGAUUAGAUAGAUGCCUCAAUAAUUACUAUAAAAUUUUAUGCAACAUUGUAUUUUCAUAACCAAUUAACAUCUACCAUAUCAUAUAUUUAUACAGGUCUGUAGGACUGUGAUGUGUGUACCAGUCUAUCAGGCUAUCCCAUUCUGUCCAGUCAACAAAUUGGCAAUGGCUACAUGGAUUCUCAAGUGACUUGGCAUUACUUUUCACAGUAACAAAGAUAGAUUGCAAAAGCUUUUAGAAAAAUAUAUGAAGUAGAGCUGUCUGCAGUAUGCCAGAGACACAGCAAGAAGUACACAUUGUUUUGCACAGAUUCGUGUUUCACAUGUUUGGCCAUGAAAGACUUGUCAUAGAAUAAGAUAGCCACACAGAUUUGAACCAACAACCUGAUAGAAAGUUUUACCUGUUGUGUAAACAGGAUGAGCCGGCUUAGUGAAAGGAAAAGAAGGAAAAUGACUUUAGAAAAGACAAGAUAGAACAGGUUCAAGAUCCUAAGGACAGGAAUGUCUAUCAUUCAGGUUAACAUCAGAGUUGAGCAGCUUCUUAUAACAGCUUACAGGUCCAAAGAAUAUGGACAAUUCAGCAGUGAUCAACACAUUAGUAGAAGCUGGACAUGGAAUACAGCAGAGGAAAAAGAGAGUGCAAAAAGAGAGAGAAAGAGGAGUGAAAAGAAAGUAUAUACCAAAGGAAGUUAUAGAAUUAGCUGAGAAAUGUAAUUCUUACACGCCCAUCGAAGAGGAUAUUAAAGUAGUGAUCACAGUCAAGAGAAAAGAUGAAGACUUAACCAACAGCAGUGACAUCAUAAAGAAAAUAAUAAAGAAACAUCAACAACCAAUCAUAAAAGAUAUUAAGAAAUUACCUUCAAUUAUUGAACCCUAAGUUAUUCGCAACAAGUACAGGGAAUAUCAGGCUACUAUCAUUUUUCGCUUGACUAUACUAAGUAUAAGGAGAGUUAUCCUACUCAACCCGGCGUCAGCAUCUUUCCGCGUCCCCUCCUUGGUUAAAGUUUUUUUACACUUUCGCUUUUUUCAACUUAUCUCUGUAAUUACUUGAUGGAUUUGAUUCAAACUUGAAAAAGUCAUUCCUCAUCAUCACCCACAUCAUCUAGCAUAAGGGCCAUAACUCUGGCACCAAUAUUUCGUGAUUUAUCUCCCCUUUCCACUGAGUUUUUGUUGAGCCCACUUGCGGAUGUGAAGACGUAGUUGUCCAAAUGGCUGUUCGGUGUAUGUGCUUGCGUCUGUCCGGAAUUGUUUGUUCGGACCAUAACUUUGACAUGCAUGGAGCAAUCUUGUUUAUAUUUGGCAUAAAUGUUAACCUCAGUGAGACGGAGUGUCAUGCGCAGACCCCAGGUUCCUAUCUCAAGGGGUCAAGGUCACACUUUCAGGACAAAGGUCAAAUUCAAAAAUGACUUUGUCCGGAGCAAUUCUUCUUCAUGCAUGGAGGGAUUUUGAUGUAAGUUGGCACAGUUGUUCACCAUCAUGAGACGGAGUGUCUUGCGCAAGAACCAGGUCCCUAGGUCUAAGGUCAAGAUCACACUUAGAGGUCAAAGGAUACAAGAAUGACAACUUUGUCUGGAGCAUUUCUUCUUCAUGCAUGGAGGGAUUUUGAUGUAACUUGGCACAAAUGUUCACCACCAUGAGAUGGAGAGUCAUGUGCAAGAACCAGGUCCCUAGGUCUAAGAUCAAGGUCACACUUAGAGGUCAAAAGUCAGAUACAAGAAUGACUUUGUCUGGAGCAUUUCUUUUUGAUGCAUAGAGGGAUUUUGAUGUAACUUGGCACAAUUGUUCAUCAUCAUGAGAUGGAGUGUCAUGCACAAGAUCCUAGAAUUACUUCCCUUUGUUGUUACUAUAAAUAGCUUAUAUUUGUAACUUUUUUAUUACUGGUCGUAGGGAAAAAUCAAGACCACUUUUCUGUAGUAAAACAUGCAUGUUUCAUCCAAUUUUCAGGUGAAUUUUGACCUAUCUCUACUGGUAAGGAUUUUUGUGUGGACUUAGAUUUUUUUUUUUCACGUCCCAUGGUUGUUACUUAAAAUAACUUAUAUUGUAACUUUUUGCAAUUUCUUUUUUUUAUUUCGCAUAAAUGUUUGUCUCAAUCAGACAAAAAGUGACAUGUUGCCCAUGGGCAUCUAGUUAAGGUUAACGUUUUGAUGCACUUUCACUCUGUCUCUGUUAUUACCGAAUGGAUUUGAUUCAGACUUAAAAUAAUUGUUCAACAUCAUCACCCACAUCAUAUGACACAAGAUGCAUAACUCUGGCACAAAUUUUUCAUGAAUUAGUCCUCCUUCUUACUUAGAAUUUCAGGUUAAAGUUUUGAUGCACUUUCGCUAUAUCACGCUUAUUACUGAAUGGAUUUGAUUCAGACUUAAAAUAUUUGUUCAGCAUCAUCACCCACAUCAUUUGACACAAGGUGCAUAACUCUGGCACCAAUUUUUCAUGAAUUAUUCCCCCUUUUUACUAAGAAUUUCAGGUUAAAGUUUUGAUGCCCUUUCACUCUAUCACUGUUAUUACAGAAUGGAUUUGAUUCAAACUUAAAAUAGUUGUUCAACAUCAUCACCCACACCAUUUAACACAAGGUGCAUAACUCUGGCACCAAUAUUUCAUGAUUUAUCUCCCCUUUCCACUUAGUUUUUAAGGUUUAAGUUUUGAUGCACUUUCACUCUAUCUCUGUUAUUACUGAAUGGAUUUGAUUUAAACUUAAAAUAAUUGUUCAACAUCAUCACUCACAUCAUAUAACACAACAAGAUGCAUAACUCUGGCACAAUUUUUUUGUGAAUUAUUCCCCCUUUUUACUUAGAAUUUCAGGUUAAAGUUUUGAUGCACUUUCACUCUAUCUCUGUUUUUACUGAAUGGAUUUGAUUCAAACUAAAAUAGCUGUUCAGCAUCAUCACCGAUGCCAUAUGACACAAGGUGCAUAACUCUGGCACCAAUUUUUCAUGAAUUAUUCCCCCUUUUUACUUAGAAUUUCAGGUUAAAGUUUUGAUGCACUUUCGCUGUAUCACUGUCACUACUAAAUGGAUUUGAUUCAGACUUAAAUCAUCACCCACAUCAUUUGACACAAGGUGCAUAACUCUGGCACCAAUUUUACAUGAAUUAUGCCCCCUUUUACUUAGAAUUAAAGGUUAAUUUUGAUGCAUUUUCACUAUCUCUCAGUUAUUAUGAAAUGCAUUUGAUUCAAACUUGAAGUAGUUGUUCCACAUUAUCACCCACAUCAUAUGACACAAGAUGCAUAACUGUAUUUUAUUAAUUAUGCCCCCUUUUUGCUUAGGCUAUACUUAUAUAGUGUUUUGAUACACUUUGUCUGUACCUCUCUUAUUACUUAAUAUUUUUGACACAGACUCAGGCAAUUGUGCAAUACAGUGUAACUUCCGAAAACUGGACCUUCUGAAAUCCGGAAACCUUUGAAAACCGCACGAAACUCAAGGUCCCAUUUUUUCUGUUCUUAUAUCUAUAUAAUUUUAACUUCUGAAAACCGGAACUUCCGAAUUCUGAAAACUGGGAAAUGUUUGAAGGACUGUAUAUAUUUUAACACUAAAAUUGACUUCCGAAAACCGAACAGCAAAAUAUUUGCCAGAAAAAAUUGCCACCUGUUAAUCCAAAAACGCCCGUGGCAAGUUGUCAAAAUGUUCUUUUGUUUAUCUAUUAGCGGCGCGCGUUUAUUUUAACAUGUUUUAUAAUCACAAUGAUCAUUAGAUGCAAAAGUAAGGAAGUAAUCGGCGAUUAUUUGCAUUUGUUUUUCAAUUUAUGAAAACAUGAUAAAUAUAAUAUCUUAAGUGUGAAAAACUUUCUUAAUGUUUAAAUGAAAGAAAGAUCAGUGUUUUAAAUGAUUUAGUUACAUUGAUUAAACUAUGCAUUAUCAACGUUAAUUAAAUAUUGACGAACUCGGGACCCCAAGUGUGGUAAAAUUAAGUGGAUAAUGUUAGCGUAAAUGCUAUCAUUAAAGAUAUGUUUUUAUAUUUGUUAAUUAUGUAUUUAUUAUCCUUAAUGUUUUUAUUUUUAAAUUAAUCAAUUAAUUAAUUACUUUAUAUAUUAAAACCUUGUAAAAUUAAAGAGGAAAAAAUCUCCUUCAUCCUACAUGCAAGGAAACAUAAGUCUUGUGCACACAUCCACUUUGUCUACGAACUUUCAAACUUCUGAAUUCCGAAAACUUCCAAAUACCUAACUUUAAGGCUGGUCCGGAGGUCGUUCGGUUUUCGGAAGUUACACUGUAUCUUAUUCACCAUUGGAGUUAAUAAACACUCCUGUGGCAGCUCUAGUUUCCUCAGAUGUGCCCACUUUCACUAUCCAGCAUCGAAAUAGUCGAGCACGCUGUCUCCUGUGACAGCUCUUGUUGUUUUCAUUGACAUCAUGGCAAGGCUGACAUGAGCCAUAUUGGAUUCAACUGCCACAAUGUUUUUUUGACUUGAGAAAUUACCAUAGCAAAAGAGUGUUUUGGAUGAAGUCAUAUAUAUCUCUUACCAUAAAUGCUUUAAACUUGAAACUUAGACUAGUUAUUUACUAUCAAUCUCUUGAUCUGGACAAAAAAUAGCUAUAAAACUGGUUUGAAAUUUGACAAAGUUAUACCACUUUUUAACUUUUAAUUUUGGAUAAAGUCGAAUCUCUUGGUCACAAAUCAAAGUAUUGACUUGCAAAUUAAGAUAGUUAUUUACUAUAAACCAAGUCCCCAUUACUCUGAUUGGACAGAUUUAUACCGUUUUUAUCCCCCGACAAAAGUCGGAGGGAUAUAGUUUUGGCGUCCCUCUGUCUUUCCGUCCAUCCAUCCGUCCCUCCGUCCGUCCGGAGCCAUAUCUAGGAAAUGGUUGGGAAUAUUUAUUUAAAACUUCAUAUACUUGUUCACCACUAUGAGUUCUUGCGGCCCGUCAAGUUUCAGUCAGAUUGCCCAAGUAACACCAGAGUUAUGGCCCUUAGAAGUUUCUAAUGUUAACUAUAUAGGGUACUAUAAAUAUGGCAAUUUAUGCAUCAUAACUUUUGAUAUAUUUGACCUUGAACUAUGAAACUUUAACAGAAUUUAGAGCACUAUAAUGUGGUUGUGCACACACAAUUUCGUAUGGAUUUCUUUUGUAACUGCAGAGUUAUUGCCCUUUAAUUGUCUAAAAAUCCACAUAUUUGUACAUAACAAACUUGCCAUUUGGCAGAAUUUCAUUAAAUUUCUUUCAUUCUUUUCUGUGAACAUUUAUUAUAAACAUGUGAACCCACACCUGGUCGCCCACUUGCCUUGGUCACCCGGGGUGACCCCAGGGUCAAAAUUGACCCCACCCCAGGGGUCACUUGAUUUUACAUAGGAAAAUCUUUAGAAAUCUUCUUCUCAAAAACCAGAAGCCCUAGAGCUUAGAUAUUUGACAUGUAGCAUUGCCUAGUGGACCUCUACUAAAGUUGUUCAAAUCAUGACCCCGGGGUCCCGCCCCAUGGGUCACUUGAUUUUACAUAGGAAAAUCUUCAAAAAAUUUCUAAAAAUAAACCAGAUGGCCUAAAGCUUAGAUAUUUCACAUGUAGCAUUGCCUAGUAGACCUCUACAAAAUUUGUUCAAAUCAUGACCCCAGGGUCAAAAUUGACCCUGCCCCAGGGGUCACUUGAUUUUACAUAGGAAAAUCUUCAAAAUUUUUCUAAAAAUAAACCGGAAGGCCUAGAGCUUAGAUAUUUCACAUGUAGCAUUGCCUAGUGGACCUCUACAAAAUUUGUUCAAAUCAUGACCCCAGGGGUCAAAAUUGACCCCGUUUCAGGGGUCACUUGAUUUUACAUAGGAAAAUCUUCAAAAUUUUUCUAAAAAUAAACCGGAAGGCCUAGAGCUUAGAUAUUUCACAUGUAGCAUUGCCUAGUGGACCUCUACAAAAUUUGUUCAAAUCAUGACCCCAGGGGUCAAAAUUGACCCCGCUUCAGGAGUCACUUGAUUUUACAUAGGAAACUCUUCAAAAAUUUUCUAAAAAUAAGAGAGAUUAAUUUAUUUUAAAUAUUAAUCUAGUUUAUUCUGGUGUAAAUUUCUCGCUUAACUUGGGUUAGAUAUUUACCGGAAAUUAGCGUUGCAAGACGCCGCGUAGUGUAACCAUGGUAAUUCUCGCGAGAUCGUUCGUAACUUCGCCGAGUAUAAAAGUCACGUGACCGCCACGUUCUAUCUUUCAGUCCGCAAAUUCAGCGUCGCACAACAUUUAAAAAAUAUAGAGUAAUUCAGUUAGCAGUUUUAAGCAUGCCAGGUCGUGGAAGGGGCGUGAAGAGAAGGGGCACGGAUAAACGUGGCCCGACAACAAGGGCAGCCGAGGCUAAACGAGCAAGGCCGGCAAUUGACGACGGCACAGGUCCGGACAGAGGUAGGCAAAAUACACCAAUUAUUGAUUUUGAACAGAUAAUUCGUGAUUCUGAGGUUGUACAUGGCAUUCAAAGUAGAGAAACUCAAACUUUCAAUAACGAUUUUGAGUCUAAUAAUUUAUUUUCAAGUAGAAAUAAUCCCGACUCAGAACAAAACAACACUCA